rnacentral:lncRNA from 1 species
GUGAGAAAGUUACCUGCUUGCUAUAUGGCGACACAGCACAGAUCACUUCAUGCUUCUCUGUCACAUUAAAGGCAAGUGCUAUAUGGGCAGAAGAGCUGCUCUCCUAUCUCCUGUAAGGGGGAGAUACGUCAGCUGUGCUGCCUACUCUUCUUGCUUAAUCUUCUGAAGAUAGUUUGUGACCAGAUUAAUGCCUCAUAAAUUUAUCAGUGCCCUUCUACAGGGCUGUACAUAUGCAACUACUUAUAAUGCAACACUACAGUAACCUCCAUAGGCUUCACCAUUUCAAUUAUAUAAUUACUGCCAAACUGUAGGCAUGCUCCCGGUUGGACCAACACUGUGGUAUUGCUAAUAGCAAAAUUAAUUGGUUACCACCCUUUUGUUAUCUUUGUGAAGUAGCUAUCGAAAAGGUGACAUCAUAGUGUCAACACUACUGAUUGAUUGGCAUUGUGAAAAGUAGUGCCUGGGAUACAGUUUGCUCUAGGAAGAGAUAAACGAAAUUGCAGAGGAUCAUCUUCAACACCAUCCUGCAUGCUGAGAUCAGAGAGAUAGGAAGACUGCACUUAGCCACUCUAAUUUGAAAGUUGCCACAGAGGAAGUGAGCAAAGAUCAGAUAGACGCUAGCCAUCCAGGAACUAGAUUAUCUACCUCCUCUAAAAAGAGGCUUUAUCCUUCUGCAUCAUUUACCAAACUUGGAGAAAACAGGGGUGAGAAACGCAUCCUCUAUAGAGGUGGAGUAAUCUGAAGUGUAAGAAGAGAGUAAAGGAGAAGGACAACUCAUCUACUAUGACAGCAGAUUACCCCCCCACACACCAACAGGUCCAAGAUUUGGCCACACCUCUCAUUUGUAAGGCAGUAUUCCAGGACUACAGAUGGAAAUGAAUUUGCUACUCCAAUCUUGGGCAAACAGCUUACCUGUUGUUACAUCUUCCCUUCAGUCCUGUGUUCUGAGUCCAGAGGGAAGGCAAAAAGGAAGGUUGAAUUGAGAGAAUUGAUGGUGGCUUCUCAAAGUAUCCCAUCAAUGUCAGAUUCAAACCUCCUGAUGUCAUUAGAAGUGGAGCAGUUUGUCGUCAUUUUUCUCCUGUUUUUAUUACCCUUGCAAUCCUGCAAAAUAAAGUGAAAUUACAAGUCAGGAGGGCUCUUCCCUCCUUUUUUUUUUUGUUGCUUGUCAUC